rnacentral:rRNA from 1 species
GAGUUUGAUCUUGGCUCAGGACGAACGCUGGCGGCGUGCCUAACACAUGCAAGUCGAACGGAGAACUCGAAAAGCUUGCUUUAAGAGUUCUUAGUGGCGGACGGGUGAGUAACGCGUGGGCAACCUCCCCCUUAAACCGGGACAACCCCUUGGAAACGAGGGCUAAUACCGGAUACGCUUUUCUGAGGGCAUCCUCGGGGAAGAAGGCGGCCUCUGAAGAUGCUGCCGAUAAGGGAUGG